UACAGAGGUCUCAAGCGUUGUUCGGAUUCAUUGGGCGUAAAGGGUGCGUAGGCGGUGCCGUAAGUCGGAUGUGAAAUCCCGGGGCUCAACCCCGGAACUGCAUUCGAUACUGCGGUGCUCGAGGACUGGAGAGGAGACUGGAAUUCACGGUGUAGCAGUGAAAUGCGUAGAGAUCGUGAGGAAGGCCAGUGGCGAAGGCGGGUCUCUGGACAGUUCCUGACGCUGAGGCACGAAGGCCAGGGGAG
rnacentral:rRNA from 1 species